AGUCGAACGAGACGAUUGAAAGCUUGCUUUUGAGAGUCGAGUGGCAAACGGGUGAGUAACGCGUAGACAACCUGCCGUAAAGAUGGGGACAACAGUUCGAAAGGACUGCUAAUACCGAAUGUUGUAGAGUUUCCGCAUGGGGAUCCUACUAAAGGUGGCCUCUACUUGUAAGCUAUCGUUUUACGAUGGGUCUGCGUCUGAUUAGCUAGUUGGUGGGGUAACGGCCUACCAAGGCGACGAUCAGUAGCCGGUCUGAGAGGAUGAACGGCCACAUUGGAACUGAGACACGGUCCAGACUCCUACGGGAGGCAGCAGUGGGGAAUCUUCCGCAAUGGGCGCAAGCCUGACGGAGCAACGCCGCGCGAGUGAAGAAGGGUUUCGACUCGUAAAGCUCUGUUGUCGGGGACGAAUGUGGAGAUGGUGAAUAACCAUUUCCAAUGACGGUACCUGACGAGGAAGCCACGGCUAACUACGUGCCAGCAGCCGCGGUAAUACGUAGGUGGCGAGCGUUGUCCGGAAUUAUUGGGCGUAAAGGGAGCGCAGGCGGGAAGGUAAGUCUAUCUUAAAAGUGCGGGGCUCAACCCCGUGAGGGGAUGGAAACUAUCUUUCUUGAGUGCAGGAGAGGAAAGCGGAAUUCCUAGUGUAGCGGUGAAAUGCGUAGAUAUUAGGAGGAACACCAGUGGCGAAGGCGGCUUUCUGGACUGUAACUGACGCUGAGGCUCGAAAGCGUGGGGAGCGAACAGGAUUAGAUACCCUGGUAGUCCACGCCGUAAACGAUGAAUGCUAGGUGUAGGAGGUAUCGACCCCUCCUGUGCCGGAGUUAACGCAAUAAGCA
rnacentral:rRNA from 1 species